UGCGAAUGCAUUUUGUCGCUUUGUGUUCGUUUGUCGGUAUAUAACCGAACACAUGUGCUGUAGCGCUAAACGACAGUAGCUUCGCGUCGCGCUCGGUGGCAGGAAUCCAUAUCAAUUCUGUGACAACGGUGACGGCGAAGACAGCGAGGCAAUCAUUACUGGGCACUAUCUGGUAGAAAUUGUAAGCAAAUCGUGCUCUACAGUUGCUGCAUAACUAUCCUUUAUGUUCCUUUUAUAGCAACGUGUAAAGAGGCAGAUAUAUUGCCUGGCCUCAAAACAAAACCCUCAAAACAUAUUUGUAGAUAAGCUCGAAAAUAUUCAAUUUGCGCAAUGAAUGUUGACCUUUAGGGGUUAAUAUGUAGAUUACUUUUUAGCGCGUGCUGUGUAUUGUGUUCUUUUUGUUCCAUUCAAAAGAACGAACAGAAGCAUUAUGUGGUAUGCAACAGUGUUGCGCAAAAUGGUUCGGGUGAAAUGCAGUUAUGUUUGCGUUGAUGUCAGUGAUGCAAUUAUUUAAAGUGCAGUAAAUGGAGGCAGUAUUACUGACGUACUUGUGUCAUGUAACCUAGCACCUAGUAUCAACUGCGGUAACGUUCUGAAUAGUAAUUUGGAAACUAUGCUUUGGCCUAAUGCUGCUGCAGAUGGGGGACUAUUGUCUGCCCUAACAUGGAACAACUACGCAGUGCCUGGGAAAGGAAACAUCGUAAAAGAUUAUGCCUUUCGCUGUUGUGAAAACAUAUUUUCUGGAUAGCGCAUUUAAGCUUGUUCUUACACAACUUCACAACAAUAACCAGGCGGCCGCUUCACAUAAUUACGCAUCGGUCAAAAUUUACGCUGGCGUAUCGGUGUAUGUGCCCUUUUUCCUCCGUUCGUAUCCUGCGGUGUGCCACAACGGGGCCCGCAACAGAAGGGCCCGCUGUGGCACCAGGAAGUGGACGAAAUAGCGGAAGAAACGUGGUUAAAUAUGAAACACGUGUUACAUUGUGCACCCGCAGCGUGUCGCUUGGGGUUUUGGUCGUUUGGAUGUUGUUUGUUUCCAGUAUAGCACCAAACACCAGCCCAGCCUCGAUAGCUGGUGCGUCUUUCUGCGCAGCUAAGACCGAACGAACGGUAUCGUGAUUGACGGUUUGCGAAAUGCUUACUACAAACGCCGCAAUACAAAUAAGUCCCCCCCCCGAUCUGGAGGGCUGAAAACAUACAAAAAAGCGAUCCCCCUCCACCUCCUCGGAUUUUGUUCAAUGUGUGGUCCUACGAUGAAUGUGUAGCAUGGUCAGCCAAGGGAUUGUUGCACUUUUCCUAAAGUUAUGGUUUGUAGCAUUGCCUGGAGGAACGGUGGCUAGGAUUGGUGUGAUAGGAGCGAGUUUAUUUUCGCCCCCAGUUGUGCUCCCAUUGGUCAGUGGAAAAUGCGUGCGGGUGGUUUUUUUUCUCUUUUUGGGAGAGGAAAACUGCGCCAUGCGGUUUGGUUUACGACAAAAUACGCCCGUGUACAUAAACCACGCGUGUACGGCAGGCGGUAGGCGACGAGACGGGGAGCCGAGGCGCUAAAUACGCGCGUCCAUCGUCCGUUGGAUCGUUAAAUAAAUCGUACACCGCCGCCCUCUGUCCGCGUGUGCGCCGCAUUGUCCACUAGUGAGUGUAUGCCCCCUCUUCCCUCCCCCCUGCAUGGUGCAUAUUUUCAUCCUACUCGAAACCACCCAAGAACUCCCCACGCCCUGCUGCAUCUCCUGUUCGCGUUCUAGCGCAGCGAUACUACUGUUACUACCAACACUACUACUGUUGUACUGCGAUCAUAUUUGCUGGUGUGGUGUUGGAAACGAUCGAGCUUGACUGGAUGCUGCGUUGUUUUUGUUAUUCUUAAUUUUUUAUUAUACACAAUGGAUGGUUGGAUGAACGCAGAAAGCGCACCGAGGGCGAGAAGGUAGUGCGCGAUGACUUGAGAUGUUGAAGGCAGCUGGAAUAUGCAACAAAACAUGGGUUGAUUCAAGGUAACUGUAAAGAAAGGCCAACAAUAACAAGUUCAAAAAUAAAGCGACGUGGAAUGACAGAGCGUGGCUGCACAAUGUACCACUGAGCAGGAAAGGGUUUAGAUGUCCGUGUGCACUUUACACGGCCAUAUCAGCUCACCGCCACCAUCUCUGCCAGUCCCUGUCCACGUUUUGUAUACAACAGCGAAAUGCGUUGUCGAACCUCCCAGCCAGCCAGCCAGCCAGCCAGCCAGCCAACCAGUCAGCCAGCCAGUCAGCCCCCCAGGUUCGAUUCUUUGCUGCUCACGUGUACACCUUAGGAUAUGGCCAGCGUACGGUAAACCGUAAACCGCUACCACUCCACGCAGUCUAUGUGGAAUUGUAUUAAUUUAGUGAGCAGUUGUGGAGGAGGCAGGGGGAGGGGGAAACGAUGUUUCAUGGGGAGAGUAGUUGGAGCUGCGCAUGGUGUGAAAUAUUUUUAUAAAUCGUGGCUAAUAUUAGUAUACCAUUCCCACCUACGUUGCUAUUCGCCGUGCGUAUGGCUUCGGGCGGGCCCGAUGGUGAUUGCGGGGGGAAGGAAGGGAAUGAGAAAAACGAUGGGAAACAGGAGCACACAACACAGCUGAGAAAAUGGACAAAACUGUCUAGCGGAGUGGAGAUUUACUAUUUACAAUUUGCUAGCUGAUGUAGAACGAACGCACUCUAAUGCAAUGCGUGGAAAGGAAUGGAUGAGCU